UUGCCCAAUGAUUAUAAAAAGACGCGUUGAGGACUUAAAUGCUGGACUUCUUCAUCUUCUUUCUUCCUUUUUCUGUACUACUUUUUCUUUCUUUGUCCAGCGUCCUGUGAGCGAAGAUUAUGAGAUAUGAGGGCAA